CAGAGCGGCACAAAACGCGCUUUGGUGCCUGACGGGGAGAAAGCGAUUGUGUUCAGAGACACGGAUCGGCAAAUCCUCCGGAGCUGCGCAGGUGGAGGUGCCGUGAGGUGGCGGAACUGUGGGGAGAGGUGUUCUGGGGGGUAAAGGAUGGCGCGGAGCUGCCCGACCCGCGCUCGAUGCCUCCCAAGAAGUGCGGAUGAAAUGGCAGCGGUUUCAAUCUGCAGCUUGUGCGGCCCGGCCCGGCUGCGGGAGGGGCACGGCGAGCUGGCUGAGGCGGCCACAGCUGCCGCCGCCGCCUUUGGACGCCGGGGAAAGGAUCUGCGGGCGCCACGGGCCUCGGCACGCUGCCUUGGCCCAUACUGAAAAGGUCCUGAUAUUUCCUGACAGGAGGGAAGGGUGUGCUCUCCGAAGGUUGCUAAUUGUGUGCUAAGUGCUGCUGGAGUGGUUCUGGAGUCAACGCUUCGAGCCGUUCAGUGGCUCAUUAAUUCUCGAGAUGGAGUUUUUGUUCAAGGAGGGUUUUUGAGGGGGAUCCGUCCCGAGCAGGGCGCUGAGCUGGCAGCAGUGUCCCAGGAAAGCCGAAGGGCUGCGGCUGUGGCAGCGCCCGCUCCCCGCAGUGGGCCCAGACUCUGAGUUGUUGAGUGGUCUGGAAGUGCAAGAUGCACUAAUGGCAAGAAAAGCACAGAUUUUGUUUGGGAACAUACUGCUAAGCAUGAGAGUUUGAGAAGGAUAUUCCAGAUGGAGAAGCACAACUUGCCAGUGGACUGCUGAGGCAACUCUAGAGAUUUGCAUUGGAGAGAAGAGGGAGUUUUCUGCAAGAAGUGGAAAAGUAUGUCUGAAGAACUGAGGAUGGACAUGGACAACACGUCUUGGAGUUGCCUGUACAAGAUGCUGUUUCCAGACUCUGUGCCUGGCUGUCCUCAGGGCCCUGUUGCCCAUUGCAGUGAGCAGAAGGGAGCUGUGGCUGGGAGCUGCUCUGACCAGGCAGUGCCACUGUGUCCCUACAGCUGCAUGGCAGAGCGUGCAUCACGCUUGCUCACAGCUGGGAGGAGGACAAGCUUCACCAGCAGGCUGAGCAGGAGUGAGGAGAAGGGAAGUUUUGUGCUCUUCACAUUGCAGGCAAAACCUCUUUGCAUAAACUCUGCUAACAGAAUCUGGCUUGGAAAACCUGAAAUGUGAGGGUUUGUUUAGAGAAGUGAAAUUCAUCAGGCUGCUCCUGCUCAUGCUCCCAUAAAGCCUUUCUGUUACACGAGUGAAGAGGCAGAAGAAUGCUGUUUCCAGUUUGUUUAACAUUCAGUGCUACACAGCUGUAGGUAAGGUGAUAACAUGGAAAGUACAUGCCCAAAUUUUAAAGUCUUUACAGGGUCUAGGAAGAAUACUGUAAGAAAAUGUUGG
rnacentral:lncRNA from 1 species